CCUACGGGCGGCAGCAGUGAGGAAUAUUGGUCAAUGGACGAGAGUCUGAACCAGCCAAGCCGCGUGAAGGAUGACUGCCCUCUGGGUUGUAAACUUCUUUUAUAUGGGAAUAAAAUGUUCCACGCGUGGGCUUUUGUAUGUACCAUAAGAAUAAGGAUCGGCUAACUCAGGGCCAGCAGCCGCGGUAAUACGGAGGAUCCGAUCGUUAUCCGGAUUUAAUGGGUUUAAAGGGAGCGGAGGUGGAUUGUUAAGUCAGUUGUGAAAGUUUGCGGCUCAACCGUAAAAUUGCAGUUGAUACUGGCAGUCUUGAGUACAGUAGAGGUGGGCGGAAUUCGUGGUGUAGCGGUGAAAUGCUUAGAUAUCACGAAGAACUCCGAUUGCGAAGGCAGUUCACUGGACUGCAACUGACGCUGAGGCUCGAAAGUGUGGGUAUCAAACAGGAUUAGAUACCCCUGUAGUC
rnacentral:rRNA from 1 species